rnacentral:lncRNA from 1 species
CUAAUUGAUUUUGGAAAUACAUGAUGCAAGGUUUCGGCCAUUGUCUAAUUCAUUUGUGGUAGCGGCAAUCUUUGUUGUGCUAAUAAGAUUGCAAAUAUAGAAGAGAUAAAAUUUAUACAAUAAAUGUAUAAAUGUUUGGAAUAUAAGUUGUUAUUCCUUAAUUUUUUAUCUUCUAUGUUCUCAUGAAUUUCCUAUUGGCUGUCUGCUCCCAAUCCAAAAUUCGCAAAACCACUUCUUUGAUAGCCAUGGAAGGAAUAAAAUGGAACUCAAUUGUGUGGUUCCUAGUAAGGCUUCUUUGGGGCUAUUGAGAACAUAUUCAUGGCUGAGUGGCGAUGAGAGGCGGUGGAGGAAGUUGCCCAAUUGCCGGCUUAUUACAAUAGGAAGUAUGCUAAAUGGGUGUGGUAUAUUAAUAUCACCAUUAAUAGGUUCAUGAAGAUGGGAUCACAAUACGUGGUCAGACAAAUUGGAUAAACUUGUUGGUCAAAAUGGACUAGCUGGUAUGUGCAAGUGCUUAAUUGAUCUUGACAAAUGUACGUGCACGAAGGAAAAUGUGUGUUCCUUCCUUGAGAAUAUUUGAGUAUAUUAAUUGCACUUGCUUACUUAAUGAUGCGUCAUGAUAUUGCAUAUGUUACUUAAGGGAAAGUUCUAAAGUAUUGGAACUUUAUGAAAGAAAGUAUGUGAAUUUUCAUGACCAUUUCUUCUACUAGAAAAUUGAAAAUGAC